GUCUGGGUCUGCAGGACAAGGCUGACCUACACUGCAGGACGUUGGUGAGGUCAUUUGAACCUCCCUUGCUAGUUUUGCCUUAUAUGUGAUAAUUUGGGAGUGAGUGCUUGCCUUUAAUCCCUGGAGUCUGUCAAGUGUUGAGUUUUAAGGGGGUGGAUAAUAUAAACACCGAGGAUUAGGCGAGAACAGUUUGAGGAGGAGCUGAGAGAAGACUAGAGAAUGCCAACAUCUCUGCAGAUGACAGAGCCUUUGCUUGUCGAGCUGUCCCUAACCAGUCCCGGCACUGCUAGUCAGGCUUCAAGCUUUGGACUCUAACAAGCAGGAGACUGCCUUCAUGUCAAUGCCACCCUUGAUAGUGCAUCAAGACGUCAAUUGCAGUGACAUGAACAUCAGCCCUCAGAACGGACUGGGAACUUGAUGAACAGAGGGUUCGACUUCACAACUUGGAAAGGGCAUACACUUCAGUGUUUCAAGCAGUGAUGGAGAUUCCGGAUACCUGCCUGAGAGCAAUUAACAUUCAUUCCUCCCCCCACCUCCUUUUUCUCUGCUUCCUCCUUUCUCUAUAAAAACCCCUUGUAAUAAUCAAUAAAGGAGACCUUGACAAAGA
rnacentral:lncRNA from 1 species